GAUGAACGCUGGCGGCGUGCUUAACACAUGCAAGUCGAACGGGAAACCUUUUAUUGAAGCUUCGGCAGAUUUAGCUGGUUUCUAGUGGCGGACGGGUGAGUAACGCGUGGGUAACCUGCCUUAUACAGGGGGAUAACAACCAGAAAUGGUUGCUAAUACCGCAUAAGCGCACAGGACCGCAUGGUCCGGUGUGAAAAACUCCGGUGGUAUAAGAUGGACCCGCGUUGGAUUAGCUAGUUGGCAGGGUAACGGCCUACCAAGGCGACGAUCCAUGGCCGGCCUGAGAGGGUGAACGGCCACAUUGGAACUGAGACACGGACCAGACUGCUAGGGGAGGCAGCAGUGGGGAAUAUUGCACAAGGGGGGAAACCCUGAUGCAGCGACGCGGCGUGAAGGAAGAAGUAUCUCGGUAUGUAAACUUCUAUCAGCAGGGAAGAUAGUGACGGUACCUGACUAAGAAGCCCCGGCUAACUACGUG
rnacentral:rRNA from 1 species